rnacentral:ncRNA from 1 species
AGUAAAAAAUUUAUAAGAAUAUGAUGUUGGUUCAGAUUAAGCGCUAAAUAAGGACAUGACACAUGCGAAUCAUACGUUUAUUAUUGAUAAGAUAAUAAAUAUGUGGUGUAAACGUGAGUAAUUUUAUUAGGAAUUAAUGAACUAUAGAAUAAGCUAAAUACUUAAUAUAUUAUUAUAUAAAAAUAAUUUAUAUAAUAAAAAGGAUAUAUAUAUAAUAUAUAUUUAUCUAUAGUCAAGCCAAUAAUGGUUUAGGUAGUAGGUUUAUUAAGAGUUAAACCUAGCCAACGAUCCAUAAUCGAUAAUGAAAGUUAGAACGAUCACGUUGACUCUGAAAUAUAGUCAAUAUCUAUAAGAUACAGCAGUGAGGAAUAUUGGACAAUGAUCGAAAGAUUGAUCCAGUUACUUAUUAGGAUGAUAUAUAAAAAUAUUUUAUUUUAUUUAUAAAUAUUAAAUAUUUAUAAUAAUAAUAAUAAUAAUAUAUAUAUAUAAAUUGAUUAAAAAUAAAAUCCAUAAAUAAUUAAAAUAAUGAUAUUAAUUACCAUAUAUAUUUUUUAUAUGGAUAUAUAUAUUAAUAAUAAUAUUAAUUUUAUUAUUAUUAAUAAUAUAUUUUAAUAGUCCUGACUAAUAUUUGUGCCAGCAGUCGCGGUAACACAAAGAGGGCGAGCGUUAAUCAUAAUGGUUUAAAGGAUCCGUAGAAUGAAUUAUAUAUUAUAAUUUAGAGUUAAUAAAAUAUAAUUAAAGAAUUAUAAUAGUAAAGAUGAAAUAAUAAUAAUAAUUAUAAGACUAAUAUAUGUGAAAAUAUUAAUUAAAUAUUAACUGACAUUGAGGGAUUAAAACUAGAGUAGCGAAACGGAUUCGAUACCCGUGUAGUUCUAGUAGUAAACUAUGAAUACAAUUAUUUAUAAUAUAUAUUAUAUAUAAAUAAUAAAUGAAAAUGAAAGUAUUCCACCUGAAGAGUACGUUAGCAAUAAUGAAACUCAAAACAAUAGACGGUUACAGACUUAAGCAGUGGAGCAUGUUAUUUAAUUCGAUAAUCCACGACUAACCUUACCAUAUUUUGAAUAUUAUAAUAAUUAUUAUAAUUAUUAUAUUACAGGCGUUACAUUGUUGUCUUUAGUUCGUGCUGCAAAGUUUUAGAUAAUGUUCAUAAACGAACAAAACUCCAUAUAUAUAAUUUUAAUUAUAUAUAAUUUUAUAUUAUUUAUUAAUAUAAAGAAAGGAAUUAAGACAAAUCAUAAUGAUCCUUAUAAUAUGGGUAAUAGACGUGCUAUAAUAAAAUGAUAAUAAAAUUAUAUAAAAUAUAUUUAAUUAUAUUUAAUUAAUAAUAUAAAACAUUUUAAUUUUUAAUAUAUUUUUUUAUUAUAUAUUAAUAUCAAUUAUAAUCUGAAAUUCGAUUAUAUGAAAAAAGAAUUGCUAGUAAUACGUAAAUUAGUAUGUUACGGUGAAUAUUCUAACUGUUUCGCACUAAUCACUCAUCACGCGUUGAAACAUAUUAUUAUCUUAUUAUUUAUAUAAUAUUUUUUAAUAAAUAUUAAUAAUUAUUAAUUUAUAUUUAUUUAUAUCAGAAAUAAUAUGAAUUAAUGCGAAGUUGAAAUACAGUUACCGUAGGGGAACCUGCGGUGGGCUUAUAAAUAUCUUAAAUAUUCUUACA